UACGAGGGGGGCGAGCGUUGUUCGGAAUUAUUGGGCGUAAAGCGCACGUAGGCGGCUUUGUAAGUUAGAGGUGAAAGCCCGGGGCUCAACUCCGGAAUUGCCUUUAAGACUGCAUCGCUAGAAUUGUGGAGAGGUAAGUGGAAUUCCGAGUGUAGAGGUGAAAUUCGUAGAUAUUCGGAAGAACACCAGUGGCGAAGGCGACUUACUGGACACAUAUUGACGCUGAGGUGCGAAAGCGUGGGGAGCAAACAGG
rnacentral:rRNA from 1 species